UACGUAGGGUCCGAGCGUUGUCCGGAAUUAUUGGGCGUAAAAGGGCUCGUAGGCGGUUCGUCACGUCGGGAGUGAAAAACUCGGAGCUUAACUCCGAGCCUGCUUCCGAUACGGGCAGACUAGAGGUAGGCAGGGGAGAGCGGAACUCCUGGUGUAGCGGUGGAAUGCGCAGAUAUCAGGAAGAACACCGGUGGCGAAGGCGGCUCUCUGGGCCUUACCUGACGCUGAGGAGCGAAAGCGUGG
rnacentral:rRNA from 1 species